UUUGUAGAGAAAUGUCUCUGGAUCUGCCU
rnacentral:piRNA from 1 species